UUUAGGAGCAUCCCAUCGCCAUCCCGAGGAUUAUGUUUUCAUCUCGGAUUACAUAUGGCAAUAUUAAGAAAGGGACACGGGCUGCGGCGUUAAUGGCGAUGGGUUAAUACUCAGCACUUAACUCCAUUUAAAAGCCUUUCGUCCCAGCUGAGUUGGGUACACAAUCAGAUCAGCAGGACGUUGGGACAACCUCAGCCGCAGCAAAGCGAAGAUUCCGUUCAUCAUCGACUGACUUUUGAUGUGGUUUUGUGCGCAGAAGAAGAGCGUCAUGCUGGGAUGAUUCCAUAUAGGUAGACCAUAGCAAUUUCCGGACAUCAUGAGUUCAUCACAGCGAGGACAAAGGGAAGAACCGCACAAGUCAAUCCCUACAUCUGCUUCAAUGCAACAACGACAUUUUGCUGAGCAGCAGGAGACAAAAACGUUUCAACAUGAGGGCUUGGCCCCUCAGAUUUCAGUGACCCAGAGCACUCCGGACAUGAACAGGAAGCUGCUCUUGUUGCCCGGCAACCAGUGUCAAGCCCACGCGAGUUCCAGCAAGGUGCAGUCGCCCGAGGAACAGCAAAAGUUGACGAAUC